rnacentral:rRNA from 1 species
AUGUGGUUCAUGCCAACAGCAAAUAUGCACAACUUGAUUCCUGCUGAUAUCUGGACUGAGCCAUUACCAUAUAACUGGAAUUACCGAUGCAAGUCGAAGAAGGAUUGGCCGGUGCUGCCGGCUGGCGUCAAGUUCGAUCCCACGGAUCAGGAGCUGAUCGAGCACCUUGAGGCCAAAGUGAGUGCUGACAGCGCGAGAUUUCAGUCUCUCAUCGAUUUGUUCAUACCAACCAUCGACAGCGAGCACGGCAUAUGCUACACCCAACCUGAGAAACUUCCAGGUAUCACACUGAGUUGCCUAAGGAAGCAUUUCUUCCAGUGCAAUUCCAGGGCGUUCAAAAGGGGCACGUGGACGCGUCGCAAGAUACAGUCGGAGUGCGGCAUGCACGCGAUGUGGCACAAGACCGGCAAUACCUUGCCGGUGAUGGUCAACGGCCGGCAGACGGGCAGCAAAAAAGGUUCUGGUGCUGCACACCAACAAGAACUUCGACCAGCAGAGGACCAAAUGGGUGAUGCACCAGUACCACCUCUUGGACCUGGAGCAAGAGAAGGAGCGGGAGCUGGUCCUCUGCAAGAUUUUCUACCAGACAAACACUAG